rnacentral:rRNA from 1 species
UACGUAGGGUGCGAGCGUUGUCCGGAAUUAUUGGGCGUAAAGAGCUUGUAGGCGGUUUGUCGCGUCUGCUGUGAAAAUCCGGGGCUCAACCCCGGACUUGCAGUGGGUACGGGCAGACUAGAGUGUGGUAGGGGAGACUUGAAUUCCUGGUGUAGCGGUGGAAUGCGCAGAUAUCAGGAGGAACACCGAUGGCGAAGGCAGGUCUCUGGGCCACUACUGACGCUGAGAAGCGAAAGCAUGGGGAGCGAACAGG